rnacentral:rRNA from 1 species
UGGGGAAUCUUGCGCAAUGGGCGAAAGCCUGACGCAGCGACGCCGUGUGCGGGAAGAAGGCCUUCGGGUUGUAAACCGCUUUCAGGAGGGACGAAGCCACUCGGGUUAAUAGCCCAGAGGGUGACGGUACCUCCAGAAGAAGCCCCGGCUAACUACGUGCCAGCAGCCGCGGUAAUACGUAGGGGGCUAGCGUUGUCCGGAUUUAUUGGGCGUAAAGAGCGUGUAGGCGGCCAGGUAGGUCCGGUGUGAAAACUCGAGGCUUAACCUCGAGAUGUCAUCGGAAACCAUCUGGCUAGAGUCCGGAAGAGGAGAGUGGAAUUCCUGGUGUAGCGGUGAAAUGCGCAGAUAUCAGGAAGAACACCUAUGGCGAAAGCAGCUCUCUGGGACGGUACUGACGCUGAGACGCGAAAGCGUGGGGAGCGAACAG